rnacentral:tRNA from 1 species
UCCUUAGAGAUAGCUCAGUCAGUAGAGCAUAAGGCUCUUAAUCUCAGGAUCGUGGGUUCAAGCCCCUCAUUGGGUGAA